GAUAUCGACAGGCGUGAACAAUGUUGUGCGGCCAACUAUGAACAAGUUGUCAACCAUGUUGUUCCAAGUUGUUACAGUUGAACAAUGCUGUAACAACAUGUUGACAAUACUGUUCAUAGUGGGCCGCACAACAUUGUUCACGCCUGUUGAUAUC